rnacentral:rRNA from 1 species
GAUGAACGCUGGCGGCGUGCCUAAUACAUGCAAGUCGAGCGAACGGACGAGAAGCUUGCUUCUCUGAUGUUAGCGGCGGACGGGUGGGUAACACGUGGAUAACCUACCUAUAAGACUGGGAUAACUUCGGGAAACCGGAGCUAAUACCGGAUAAUAUUUUGAACCGCAUGGUUCAAAGGUGAAAGACGGUCUUGCUGUCACUUAUAGAUGGAUCCGCGCUGCAUUAGCUAGUUGGUAAGGUAACGGCUUACCAGGGCAACGAUGCAUAGCCGACCUGAGAGGGUGAUCGGCCACACUGGAACUGAGACACGGUCCAGACUCCUACGGGAGGCAGCAGUAGGGAAUCUUCCGCAAAGGGCGAAAGCCUGACGGAGCAACGCCGCGUGAGUGAUGAAGGUCUUCGGAUCGUAAAACUCUGUUAUUAGGGAAGAACAUAUGUGUAAGUAACUGUGCACAUCUUGACGGUACCUAAUCAGAAAGCCACGGCUAACUACGUG